GAUACAGUCGCAACAAUUAAUGCAGAUGUCAUCUGUUUAGUUAUUUUGCAAAUGGAUCGGAGAAGGCUGACCAUUUCUGAAGCACUGAAACUGCUACACGAAUUGCCUUCAGAUAGUGAAUCUGAUACGGAUCCUGGCACAUGCACAAAACAUACAGUGUUUGGUUGUAUUUUUUCAAAUGUGAUGUCACUUUCUUCAAAAUGUACUCUCUUACGCGCUUCCUAGCAGUUCUCGCCUUAGCACUCUUUUUCGAAGCUCUAUUCAUUCCGUGAGCCCGUUUCGGGCAAAUUCACAGAAUUAAAAAGAAAAAGCUGAGAGAAAAAAGUAUAUGAGGUAUGUAUGCAUUCACCUAUCCUUCAAGGUCAAAGAGAAAAACCUCAUCGCUCCUGUCCUCCGGCAACGUGAAAGAGCGACAAAAUUUUCUCCUAUCUGGCAUGUGGUGGGUGCGCUUAUGGCAUCAUGUGGAAAAAACUUUCCUUAGCAAUAAAUUUGCUGCAAUUUGUUAUUAUGUCUCAAGCAUUAUUUUUAAUAUUUAAUAAUGUUUUUACCCGAAAUAUUGCGUGCAGUGCAGUUUUUAAUUUCUUGAGUUAAUUUAUUUUGUUAAUUUUACUGCUCUUUGUUAGACAAAGUUUGAAUAUGUUGCAAAA